CGAAGGCACUAGUUUGGCAAGAUGGCGCGCGGCAACGAUGAACCGAAAGAAGCUCCGAAAAAUAAUAGUGUCGAAGACUUCGAUCUAAAUGAUAUCGAUCAGAUCUGUGAUGAGGAGUGUGAGGCCCUCAACGAAGCGAUGGAUAAAAUCAACGCAUGCCUGGAUGCUCUGGAAAGAAAGAACAACGCUUUAGUUCAACAAAUGCGCCAACUGCUCGAGGAAUCCAAGCGAUCUGACAGCGACCCUGCCGCGGGUGACGCUACAGCAGCGAUCGAAGAAAAUGAACAAGUUUAAAAGAAAGCAAGUUGGCAAGUUCUGCACUCUUGCGAAUUCACCCACAUUCCAUUGUGUGUCCUGUGAUUAUCCCACGAAGAACACCCCUGCUAGCUCAAUGUAGUCUUCGCCUCGGUCGGUCACAUGACUACAUGCCAUGUUCCCCCGUCUCUCUGACCAAAUAAAUGUUUUUUUUU